rnacentral:rRNA from 1 species
UUGACCUCGGAUCAGGUAGGAAUACCCGCUGAACUUAAGCAUAUCAAUAAGCGGAGGAAAAGAAACCAACAGGGAUUGCCCUAGUAACGGCGAGUGAAGCGGCAACAGCUCAAAUUUGAAAUCUGGCCCCAGGCCCGAGUUGUAAUUUGUAGAGGAUGCUUUUGGCGCGGUGCCUUCUGAGUUCCCUGGAACGGGACGCCACAGAGGGUGAGAGCCCCGUAUAGUUGGACACCUAGCCUCUGUAAAGCUCCUUCGACGAGUCGAGUAGUUUGGGAAUGCUGCUCAAAAUGGGAGGUAAAUUUCUUCUAAAGCUAAAUACCGGCCAGAGACCGAUAGCGCACAAGUAGAGUGAUCGAAAGAUGAAAAGCACUUUGAAAAGAGGGUUAAACAGCACGUGAAAUUGUUGAAAGGGAAGCGCUUGUGACCAGACUUGGGCCCUGCAAAUCAUCCGGCGUUCUCGCCGGUGCACUUUGCUGGGUCCAGGCCAGCAUCGGUUUCCCCGGGGGGAUAAAAGCUCUGGGAACGUAACUCCUCCGGGAGUGUUAUAGCCCUCUGCACAAUACCUCCGGGGGGACCGAGGACCGCGCAUCUGCAAGGAUGCUGGCGUAAUGGUCAUCAGCGACCCGUCUUGAAACACGGACCAAGGAGUCGACCAUUAGGGCGAGUGUUUGGGUGUAAAACCCGCACGCGUAAUGAAAGUGAACGUAGGUGAGAGCUUCGGCGCAUCAUCGACCGAUCCUGAUGUUUUCGGAUGGAUUUGAGUAGGAGCCUUAACGGUCGGACCCGAAAGAUGGUGAACUAUGCCUGAAUAGGGUGAAGCCAGAGGAAACUCUGGUGGAGGCUCGCAGCGGUUCUGACGUGCAAAUCGAUCGUCAAAUUUGGGCAUGGGGGCGAAAGACUAAUCGAACCAUCUAGUAGCUGGUUACCGCCGAAGUUUCCCUCAGGAUAGCAGUGUUGUUUUCAGUUUUAUGAGGUAAAGCGAAUGAUUAGGGACUCGGGGGCGCUAUUUAGCCUCCAUCCAUUCUCAAACUUUAAAUAUGUAAGAAGCCCUUGUUGCUUUGUUGAACGUGGGCCUUCGAAUGUAUCAACACUAGUGGGCCAUUUUUGGUAAGCAGAACUGGCGAUGCGGGAUGAACCGAACGCGGGGUUAAGGUGCCGGAGUGGACGCUCAUCAGACACCA